CGCAUCUCGAUCCCAGUACGGCGAGUGAAGAGGGACUAGCCCAAAUUUGUAAUCUGGCUCUUUCAGAGUCCGAGUUGUAAUCUCGAGAACAGUUUUCCGUGUUGGACCUUGUAUAAGUCUGUUGGAAUAUAGCUUCGUAGAGGGUGAGAAUCCCGUACAUAACAAGGACUACCAAUGCUUUGUGAUACUGUCUCUAAGAGUCGAGUUGUUUGGGAAUGCAGCUCAAAUCGGGUGGUAAAUUCCAUCUAAGGCUAAAUAUUGGCGAGAGACCGAUAGCGAACAAGUACCGUGAGGGAAAGAUGAAAAGCACUUUGGAAAGAGAGUUAACAGUACGUGAAAUUGUUAAAAGGGAAACGAUUGAAGUCAGUCUUGUAGCUUUUCGUUCAACCGCAAGGUGUAUUCGGAUUGCAACAGGCCAGCAUCAAUUUUUGGUGUCGGAUAAGGGUAUUGGAAAUGUAGCAAUCUCGGUUGUGUUAUAGUCCUUUACUUGAUACGAUGCUAGGGAUUGAGGAAUGCAGUGAGCCUUUUGGCGGGUCUUUGGACCUUCUCACUUUGGAUGCUGGCGUAAUGGCUUUAAACGACCCGUCUUGAACCACGGGACC
rnacentral:rRNA from 1 species